rnacentral:rRNA from 1 species
CCUACGGGUGGCAGCAGUGAGGAAUAUUGGUCAAUGGUCGCGAGCCUGAACCAGCCAAGUCGCGUGAAGGAUGACUGCCCUACGGGUUGUAAACUUCUUUUGUCAAGGAAUACAGUGAGGCACGUGUGCCUUUUUGUAUGUACUUUAUGAAUAAGGAUCGGCUAACUCCGUGCCAGCAGCCGCGGUAAUACGGAGGAUCCGAGCGUUAUCCGGAUUUAUUGGGUUUAAAGGGAGCGUCGAUGGGGUGUUAAGUCAGUUGUGAAAGGGUGCGGCUCAACCGUAAAAUUGCAGUUGAUACUGGCAGCCUUGAGUACAGGUGAGGUAGGCGGAAUUCGUGGUGUAGCGGUGAAAUGCUUAGAUAUCACGAAGAACUCCGAUUGCGAAGGCAGCAUAC